rnacentral:misc_RNA from 1 species
UAACCGUAGGUGAACCUGCGGUUGGAUCAUUAAUAAAUUUUAUUAAAGGUGUAAUAAAAGCGUUUGAAAAAACCUUUUUUAUAUACUCUUUAACAAAUUUUGUGAAUUUUAUUAACGUUUUUUGGGUAGAUCAUCUUUAAAGAUUGUUUUACCCAACAAAUUAUUUAAACCAAAAUUUUUUUAAAAAAUGUCUUUAAAAUGUUUUAUUUACAAAAAUAAUUUAAAAACAACUUUUAACAACGGAUCUCUUGGCUCUC